rnacentral:rRNA from 1 species
UACGGGGGGGGCAAGCGUUGUCCGGAUUCAUUGGGCGUAAAGCGCGCGUAGGCGGCUCCGCAAGUCGGCCGUGAAAUCUCCAGGCUCAACUUGGAGGGGUCGGGCGAGACUGCGGAGCUCGAGGUGGGCAGAGGGCAGUGGAAUUCCGGGUGUAGUGGUGGAAUGCGUAGAGAUCCGGAGGAACACCAGUGGCGAAGGCGGCUGCCUGGGCCUGGCCUGACGCUGAGGCGCGAAAGCGUGGGGAGCGAUCCGG